UACGUAGGGUGCGAGCGUUGUCCGGAAUUAUUGGGCGUAAAGAGCUUGUAGGCGGUUUGUCGCGUCUGCUGUGAAAAUCCGGGGCUCAACCCCGGACUUGCAGUGGGUACGGGCAGACUAGAGUGUGGUAGGGGAGACUGGAAUUCCUGGUGUAGCGGUGAAAUGCGCAGAUAUCAGGAGGAACACCGAUGGCGAAGGCAGGUCUCUGGGCCACUACUGACGCUGAGAGCGAAAGCUGGGGAGCGAACAGG
rnacentral:rRNA from 1 species